rnacentral:rRNA from 1 species
ACUCCUACGGGAGGCAGCAGUGGGGAAUAUUGCACAAUGGGCGCAAGCCUGAUGCAGCCAUGCCGCGUGUAUGAAGAAGGCCUUCGGGUUGUAAAGUACUUUCAGCAGUGAGGAAGGUGGGUAUGUUAAUAGCAUACACAUUUGACGUUAGCUGCAGAAGAAGCACCGGCUAACUCCGUGCCAGCAGCCGCGGUAAUACGGAGGGUGCGAGCGUUAUCCGGAUUUAUUGGGUUUAAAGGGUCCGUAGGCGGAUUAAUAAGUCAGUGGUGAAAUCCCAUCGCUUAACGAUGGAACUGCCAUUGAUACUGUUAGUCUUGAAUGAGGGUGCAGUGGUUGGAAUGUGUAGUGUAGCGGUGAAAUGCAUGAUAUUACACAGAACACCGAUUGCGAAGGCAGAUCACUAACCCUAAAUUGACGCUGAGGGGACGAAAGGCGUGGGGGAGCGAACAGGAUUAGAUACCCUGGUAGUGUACUGU